rnacentral:rRNA from 13 species
UGGCGGCUUUAGCGCGGUGGUCCCACCUGACCCCAUGCCGAACUCAGAAGUGAAACGCCGUAGCGCCGAUGGUAGUGUGGGGUCUCCCCAUGCGAGAGUAGGGAACUGCCA